GGUUAACACAACUUACUGAAGCAGCUUUAAGUUCUGAACUUUUAUACUUUAGUGCAGGCUUCCCCAAACUCCAGAUGUUGCUGAACUACAACUCCCAUGAUUCUCAGCCUAUUUCAUUCAUAGAAUCAUGGGAGUUGCAGUUCAGCAUCUGCCACGAGCUCUGAUCCGGCGGGCAGAACCCGGGGUAAAAGCGACGGCUAACAAGCCCACAAAAAUCAGAGGGUGCACCACCCACGCUGGGGGUGCCCCACUGAGUAAUCAGACACCACCCCGGUACCUGUCGACGCUGGGAAAGCGGAAUUCCACAUGCGGCCUACUGGGGCUGAAGCAGGG